GCUCGGGUGGCGGAAUUGGCAGACGCGCUAGGUUGAGGGCCUAGUGGGGUAACACCCGUGCGGGUUCAAAUCCCGCCUCGAGCACCA
rnacentral:tRNA from 1 species